GACGAACGCUGGCGGCGUGCUUAACACAUGCAAGUCGAACGAUGAAGCCACUUCGGUGGUGGAUUAGUGGCGAACGGGUGAGUAACACGUGAGCAAUCUGCCCUUAGCUCUGGGAUAACUUCCGGAAACGGAGGCUAAUACCGGAUAGGACCUGCGCCUGCAUGGGUGUGGGUGGAAAGUUUUCGGCUAGGGAUGAGCUCGCGGCCUAUCAGCUUGUUGGUGGGGUGAUGGCCUACCAAGGCGACGACGGGUAGCCGGCCUGAGAGGGCGACCGGCCACACUGGGACUGAGACACGGCCCAGACUCCUACGGGAGGCAGCAGUGGGAAUAUUGCACAAUGGGCGAAAGCCUGAUGCAGCGACGCCGCGUGAGGGAUGACGGCCUC
rnacentral:rRNA from 1 species